rnacentral:misc_RNA from 1 species
GAUAUUUGGGUGAUGAAUUUUGCAUAACAAAUCCACUUCAUUUUACAAUUCCAAGUAAUAAGUCAACCAAAAAAAGAGAGAAGUAAUCCAACAAAAGCAAAAGGAGAGUAAAUAUCUAUACCUCAAAUUCUCUCCUACCAUCUUCACCUGCACAAUCUAGUUUCUUGAUUGCAACAUGCUUGUCGUCUUCCAAUCCACCUUUGCCCGUUAAAUUGUUAUCUCCAAAAUUUUU